rnacentral:misc_RNA from 1 species
GAUGAAGAACGCAGCAAAUGCGAUAAGUAAUGCGAAUUGCAGAAUUUCCGUGAGUCAUCGAAUCUUUGAACGCACAUUGCGCCCACUGGUAUUCCGGUGGGCAUGCCUGUUCGAGCGUCAUUAUCCUCCCUCAAACCCCGGGUUUGGUGUUGGACCGAAGUUGUGUGAACAACUGGUCUAAAAAACAAUGACGGCGUCCGUGGGACCCUCGGUGCAACGAGCUUUUAGGAGCACGCGCCGAGUUGCAAGGACCUUCCGGGCCGGUCUCCUUUUACUAUUUUACAAGGUUGACCUCGGAUCAGGUAGGAAUACCCGCUAAACUUAAGCAUAUCAAUAAGCGGAGGA